AUCUCGGUGGUGUAAUGGUUUAAGCAUGGCUGGCUCCAACCCAGCUGAUUAGGGUUCGAAUCCUUACCGGGGUG
rnacentral:tRNA from 1 species